rnacentral:rRNA from 1 species
AGUCGUGCGGUCCACGUUUCCUCGGAGAGCCUGUCCGCCUUUGGUGGACUAGCUCAAAGAGGAGACACAUUGGAUAGCGGCGAACGGGUGAGUAAUGUGUAGGUAAUCUACCCCGAAGACUAGGAUAACUUGUGGAAACAUGGGCUAAUACUGGAUAAUCUCUCUUUUGGACAUCCUGGGAGAGGAAAGGCUUCGGCCGCUUUGGGAUGAACCUAUAUCCUAUUAGUUUGUUGGUGAGGUAAUGGCUCACCAAGGCGAUGAUGGGUAGCCGGCCUGAGAGGGUGAUCGGCCACACUGGGACUGAGACACGGCCCAGACUCCUACGGGAGGCAGCAGUGAGGAAUCUUCCGCAAUGGGCGAAAGCCUGACGGAGCAACGCCGCGUGGAGGAUGAAGGCUUUCGGGUUGUAAACUCCUUUCGGCAGGGACGAAGGUCUCUGACUGACGGUACCUGCAGAAGAAGCCCCGGCCAACUACGUGCCAGCAGCCGCGGUAAUACGUAGGGGGCAAGCGUUGUUCGGAAUCACUGGGCGUAAAGAGCACGUAGGUGGUGGAUCAAGUCGAGUGUGAAAGCCUUAGGCUCAACUUAAGGAUUGCACUUGAAACUGAUUCACUAGGGUCCAGCAGAGGGAAGUGGAAUUCCCGGUGUAGCGGUGAAAUGCGCAGAUAUCGGGAAGAACACCAGUGGCGAAGGCGGCUUCCUAGGCUGCGACCGACGCUGAGGU